ACUCUCUUCACUCUGCAUGGUCGCACUAGUUGUGGUGUGACUUUCGUACAGGGAGAGAGAGAAAAGAGCUUUUCAGGACCUUGAACCUGGCCUCAUGGUGGCCUUUCUUUCCUUGAGGAGCACGACAGGC
rnacentral:snoRNA from 1 species